rnacentral:lncRNA from 1 species
CUCAUAUUGCACAAGAGAAUCAUAAACCAACAAAGAUUUUGGGAAGGAGAGAGUUUUGUACAAAAAAUCGAAACAUCUUCAUUCAGCUUUCUUAUUGCAAUUUCUGAGGUGAUUACUUAAAGAUUUAUUACUUUAUUGCAUCAGUUUAUAAUGAUAUAUGAAAUUUUAAGGUUUUAGGUUUCAUAAUGUUCAUUCCUAAGAAUUAUUCAAAUGUUGAAACUUUGACUUAAGAUCUACAGCUUUUAUGUGUUAUUUUGUUAUCUACGAUUUUGUAUUAUUUUCAUUCAAGGUUAGACCGCAAGAUUUACGAUUUCAGUUUCUUUGUGGCUUAUUUCUUUUACAUUUAUUGUCUUUGUUCUAAAAUUUAUUUUUUGAAGAUGUUAUUUUGGUCGUUCGUGACUUAAAGAUUUAGUCUUCGAAGCUUUUUUUUUUUUUUUUUGGUUAAAGUAUUAGAAGUUCGAAAAUUCUUUUAAGCCAAAAUAUUUAAGCCAAAAUAUAAGCUUUGAAGGUUUAAAGUUUAUUUAUAUUUUUUGUUGAAGAUUUACUGUUCCAAUCUCAUAUUUAAUGAGUUAUUUUGUUCUCGGUGAUUUUUUUUGCCGUUGGAAGUUAGAACUAAAAAUUUACUAUUGUAAUUAUUAACACAAAUCUACCAGAUCAGCCAACUCAAGGAAUUAGCAUCAAUUUCUCACAAUUAGCAUCAGAUCAGGCAGCCCAAGGAAUUAGCAUAAAUUUCUCACAAUUAGCAUCAAUUUCUGGAGCUGAUCACUGUGUGAAGAUCCUUGCCUAAAAUCAAGAACAAAUGUCCUUUUAUACUCAGCCUCAAGAAAGGAAAUUCUGCUGCAGUCACCAUAACUUAAUUCCUUUCUUUCUUUGCAAUAUUUUUCAACGGUUGUAUAUAUGCUUGUAAUCGUCUCUUGUUGCUCACGUUGUGAAAGAAUAAAAAAGUGACUUCAUUUGACACAACUCAAAAUUUCUUCUUGGUAUCAGAGCGGGUGUGAGCAACAAGUUACUUCUCAAUGGCAUUACUCUCUAACAAUGUCAGUAACUUCAUCACCCUCAAACUCAAACACGAAAAUUAUCCUCUAUGGCGAGAGCAAGCUCUGGCCCUUGCUAAAAGCCAAGACAUGGUCGGUCACCUCACUGGAGAAUCAACCGAACCAACUAAAUCCAUAGACAAAACCACAGACGAUAUCACUGCAUGGCGAAAAUCAUAUCGGCUUCUUCGAGGAUGGCUCAUUGGUACCCUUGCUGAAGAAGGACUUAGUCUUGCUAUUGGGCAAGACAGCCAAAUCUAUCUGGGAUGCUCUCAAGGAGGCUUAUGCGCAAGACUCUCAGGAAAGAGAGUUCACGCUCAGGCAACAAUUGACCUACCUUUGCAAGGACGAAAACACCACAAUUGGCGAACAUAUUCGCAAUUUCAAGGGCAUUUGUGACAAUUUAGCAGUCGUUGGAAGCCCUGUUACUGAUAAGGUCAAGGUAUUCUCCCUUCUCACAAGUCUGGGGCCAAAAUAUGAGUCCUUCACCACGACCAUGUUAAAGCCACCUCGUCCAACCUAUACCGAACUAGUAUCUCUGCUGCAAGGGUAUGAACAACGUCAAAACUGGUUUACCAUCAAUGCAACAACUCAUCAAUUGGCCUUUUAUGGUCAAAGGCAGCGUCCCCAACAAUAUAUUCCCACCAACCAAAAUCACAAAAUCAUUUCAACUCAAAUGGUCGUGGCUUCCAAGCCCACAACCAGAACUUCAAAAACUAAAAGUAUUCCAACAACCAAGGACAAACCACUCCCAGUCAACAGCUAACCCAUGACAAUAUCAAGCAAGAUUUUACAACCAGAAGACCACCCCCUCCAGGACAGCGAUGAAUGACACCAGUUGAGCGAGAAAUGUACAGCAAUGAUACCUAUCAAAUCUGCGGCGUCAUGGGCCACAUAGCAAAGAUUUGUUGGCAUUUGUCAAAACAAUCUGUUAAACAAGACGAAAUCCCACAAGCUUUGGUUGCUCUCACUCUCGACAACACAAUCUUUGACACUGAAUGGACAUCAGAUACUGGCGCCUCGAACCACAUGACAAGUAAUACAGGUAUGCUAAAAAAUAUACGUCCCUACAGAGGUACUGAAUCUGUCUUAAUUGGCGAUGGUACUUUACUCGCAAUUAAAUCCAUUGGUG